rnacentral:rRNA from 1 species
UACGGGGGGGGGUAAGCGUUGUUCGGAAUUACUGGGCGUAAAGGGCUCGUAGGCGGCCAACUAAGUCAUACGUGAAAUCCCUCAGCUUAACUGGGGAACUGCGUGUGAUACUGGAUGGCUUGGAUUUGGGAGAGGGAUGCGGAAUUCCAGGUGUAGCGGUGAAAUGCGUAGAUAUCAGGAGGAACACCGGUGGCGAAGGCGGCUACCUGGACAGAAACUGACGCUGAGGCGCGAAAGCUAGGGGAGCAAACAGG